UACGGGGGGGGGCAAGCGUUGUUCGGAAUUACUGGGCGUAAAGGGCUCGUAGGUGGCCCAACUAAGUCAGACGUGAAAUCCCUCGGCUUAACCGGGGAACUGCGUCUGAUACUGGAUGGCUUGAGUUCGGGGAGAGGGAUGCGGAAUUCCAGGUGUAGCGGUGAAAUGCGUAGAUAUCUGGAGGAACACCGGUGGCGAAGGCGGCAUCCUGGACCGACACUGACACUGAGGAGC
rnacentral:rRNA from 1 species